rnacentral:rRNA from 1 species
ACGGCCUACCAAGGCGAUGAUCGGUAGCUGGUUUGAGAGGAUGAUCAGCCACACUGGGACUGAGACACCGCCCAGACUCCUACGGGAGGAGCAGACUCCUACGGGAGGCAGCAGUGGGGAAUAUUCCGCAAUGGGCGAAAGCCUGACGCAAUACCGCGUGAGGGAAGAAGGCUCUUGGGUUGUAAACCUCUUUUCUGAGGGAAGAAAAAAAUGACGGUACCUCAGGAAUCAGCAUCGGCUAACUCCGUGCCAGCAGCCGCGGUAAUACAGAAGGAUGCGAGCGUUAAUCGGAAUUACUGGGCGUAGCAAGCGUUAUCCGGAAUGAUUGGGCGUAAAGCGUCCGCAGGUGGCAGUUCAAGUCUGCUGUCAAAGACCGGGGCUUAACUUCGGAAAGGCAGUGGAAACUGAACAGCUAGAGUAUGGUAGGGGCAGAGGGAAUUCCUGGUGUAGCGGUGAAAUGCGCAGAUAUCGGAAAGAACACCAACGGCGAAAGCACUCUGCUGGGCCGACACUGACACUGAGAGACGAAAGCUAGGGGAGCGAAUGGGAUUAGAUACCCCAGUAUACCCCAGUAGUCCUAGCCGUAAACGAUGGAUACUAGGCGCUGUGCGUAUCGACCCGUGCAGUGCCGUAGCUAACGCGUUAAGUAUCCCGCCUGGGGAGUACGUGCGCAAGCGUGAAACUCAAAGGAAUUGACGGGGGCCCGCACAUCUUGGAAUUGACGGGGGCCCGCACAAGCGGGUGGAGCAUGUGGUUUAAUUCGAUACAACGCGAAGAACCUUACCAGGACUUGACAUGUCGCGAAUCUUACUGAAAGGUAGGAGUGCCUUAGGGAGCGCGAACACAGGUGGUGCAUGGCUGUCGUCAGCUCGUGCCGAAAAAUGUUGGGUUAAGUCCCGCAACGAGCGCAACCCUUGCCGUUUAGUUGCCAGCACGUAAAGGUGGGACAUUGGAGACCGCCGGGGUCAACUCGGAGGAGGUGGGGAUGACGUCAAGUCCUCAUGGCCUUUUAUGUCCUGGGCUACACACGUGCUACAAUGGUUGGUGACAGUGGGCAAAUCCUUAAAAGUCGUCUCAGUUCGGAUUGUCCUCUGCAACUCGAGGGCAUGAAGUCGGAGUCGCUAGUAAUCGCGAUCAGAUGCCGGGUGAAUUCGUUCCCGGGUCUUGUACACACCGCCCGUCACACCAUGGGAGCGGGUUUUACCAGAAGUAGGUAGCUUAACCGCAAGGAGGGCGCUUACCACGGUAGGAUUCGUGACUGGGGUGAAGUCGUAACAAGGUAGCCGUAUCGGAAGGUGCGGC